rnacentral:ribozyme from 1 species
UGUAAAAUUUAUCCAGUAUAUUGGUAAAAGGCUCUGUAAUGUAAUGGGAUGGCUCCUAUUCCGACACGUCCUCGUCGUGCAGAGUGGUAACAUGUGCCUCCAUAUAUCCUAGCUUGGGUACACGGGCUAGAUCCAACCCCUUUGGCGGAGGGGGGUGGGUAUCCCGGGAAAC